rnacentral:rRNA from 1 species
GACGAACGCUGGCGGCGUGCUUAACACAUGCAAGUCGAGCGGUAAGGCCCUUUCGGGGGUACACGAGCGGCGAACGGGUGAGUAACACGUGGGUGACCUGCCCUCAGCUCUGGGAUAAGCCUGGGAAACCGGGUCCAAUACCGGAUAUGACUCCAUGACGCAUGUUGUGGGGUGGAAAGCCUUGUGCGGCUGAGGAUGGGCCCGCGGCCUAUCAGCUUGUUGGUGGGGUGANGGCCUACCAAGGCGACGACGGGUAGCCGGCCUGAGAGGGCGACCGGCCACACUGGGACUGAGACACGGCCCAGACUCCUACGGGAGGCAGCAGUGGGGAAUCUUGCGCAAUGGGCGAAAGCCUGACGCAGCGACGCCGCGUGAGGGAUGACGGCCU